UAUGUUUAAGUGUAUUUAGUACACAUUGAAUUUUGAUUUCAAGAAAACAGGUGUAAUUCCUGUAUGCAUAG
rnacentral:tRNA from 1 species